rnacentral:rRNA from 1 species
CCUACGGGUGGCAGCAGUGAGGAAUAUUGGUCAAUGGCCGAGAGUCUUAACCAUCCAAUUCUCUUUAUUUAAUACUUCCCUACUUUUUUUAAACCUCUUUUUUCGUUUAUCAAAGCGAACCACGUGUGGUUCAUUGAGAGUACCCGAAGAAAAAGCAUCGGCUAACUCCGUGCCAGCAGCCGCGGUAAUACGGAGGAUGCGAGCGUUAUCCGGAUUUAUUGGGUUUAAAGGGUGCGCAGGCGGGGGUGAAAGUCAGCGGUCAAAUUGCGGGGCUCAACCCCGUACUGCCGUUGAAACUGCAUCCCUUGAGUGCGCGAGAGGUAUGCGGAAUGCGUGGUGUAGCGGUGAAAUGCAUAGAUAUCACGCAGAACUCCGAUUGCGAAGGCAGCAUACCGGCGCGCAACUGACGCUCAUGCACGAAAGCGUGGGUAUCGAACAGGAUUAGAUACCCUAGUAGUC